rnacentral:lncRNA from 1 species
UCUGCGAAACGAAGGCAGUCACGACGUUACUGACGUCUGAAAAUUUUAGGUUCUUUACAAAUCACUUAUUUUUAAACUCAGGUAUGUAAAAUUUCUUAUUGUCAAUUACCCUACGGUAGUAAUAGCUAAGAAUUGAAUAGCUAAAUCCCUUCUUCCUCUAUAUCAUCAAUAAAUUUCAUAAUUAUUUGUAAUACUUUAAAAUUGAUCAAAAUACACCGGUUGUUGUAGAAUCGAUUGUUUGACUGGUGUCAAUUGGACUGGGGGUCUACGUAUUGGCUCAAGGAGUUUUGGGGUGAGUUGAUAUAAACCUUUACUAAAGUGGUUUAACUCACAAAAGCACGCAUACAAGGUGUUUGAUGAAUUGCUUAAAAGAAAUUAUCUUUAUUUAAUUAGAGCGAGUAACUCACAAAAGCACCCACCCAAAGUGUUUGAUGAAUUGCUUAAAAGAGUUUAUCUUUAUUUAAUUAUAGAGAGUAAAUACCCAAUUAAUUUAGAAUUGUUCUAGCAAAAGUUUAGAUGAUCUAUUAUGCUAUAUGUGCUGAAAUUUUCAGAUAUUUUUGUGUUAUCCUUAUAUGUUAUUUUCAUGUUGGAAAUUAUGAAGAAGAAAGAAUCUUUAGAAAUAUUUUUAUAUGUUUAUUUUUUUCUUAUAUCAUGCUUUAUAUUUAAGGACACCAACAUGAUCAUGUACACAAUUUUUUAUAAAGAAAAGAUUUACACUUGAAAAAGCACAAGAAGAAGUUUUAGAAAGAAAAGGUUUUUGGGGAGUAUCGUUUAUUCUAAGAAGGGGUCAUCGUCCAGGCCGAGGGUCCUGACCACGGCGUUGACUUCCUGAAACUACUUGUGCCAAAGUAGGGAGCACACGAGCCUAGGGUCUCGUUGUUGAGAAAUUACUUAGCCAUGCUAAGGUAUGUUACAUGAGCGCUGAGUACCAUAAAGCGAGUGACAACUCGUGGAUUGGGCCUAUUCGAUCAGGUUGGGAUCGAACCCGUGCCGAUCACACGGUGACUGAGACAAAAUUAAAUCAGGAUAGUUGGAACUCCCAAAGUAUAAAGUGAAGUAAUUUUUUUCAAGUAAGAAAAAGAAAAGAAUUUUUUUAGAAUAUUCAUAAAUUGCUAUCACGCAAUUAUUUAAGAAUUAUUCUUAUAAGCUUUAUAUCUUACAUGCAUUUAGAAACUUUGCUCGUAAUGUACGUUUCUCCCCUUGUUAUUGAGGCUCACUGAGUACAAUGGAUUGUACUGACGUUCUCUUUUGGGAACCUACGUUAGUCUGCGGCACAACGUAGGAACUGGAUUUGCAGGCGAGCAGGCUACGAUUUAGGACUUCCUUCCCUUCCAGUGCUAUUGGUGAGCUCCGCCUUUGUUCGUGGAGUAUUUCUUAGAGUCAUUUUUAUUUAGCUAUUUCUUUGUUUAUUUAGAGAACUGGCCUGGAAAUAUCAUGUCCUGAGCAGUGCGUCUUCUUAUCAGUAGAGGCUUCAUAGACAUAGUCAUUGGGUUGAGAUUCAUAUGUUAUUUAAUAAUAACCUAACAAUAAUUUAGUUGGUUACUACGAAUAAGGUUUUGAAGUUUAAUUUUUUAAAUGUUUAAAAUAAUGAAAAUUAUUUGGUUAGAGUAUUUCCUUACUACAUAUAAAGUUUGGAGUUAUAAUAGAUUAGAUAAGCAGAAAUGGUUCACUCGGUCAUGUUUAGUGAUCGAGUGCCGGUCCUGGCUUGUUCAGAAAAUGGGUCGUGACAAACUUGGUAUCAGAGCCACAUGUUUAUGAAGUCGUAGGGGUCUAUGAAGCUGUGUUGGUAGAUUCUUGUUUAUGGGUAUGAAGGGCGCCAUACUUAUAAACAGGAGGUUACAAGCAUUUAGGAAAAAUCUCAUUUUUUUCAUACUUUAGAUCGUGCAGUAGAGCCUACCUCUAAGAAAUUAUCUUAUGUAUUAUUUUCUCCAAAACUCGCAGAAAUGGCUCGUACUCGCAACUCUGACACCGACACUUAGGAUGGUACUCAAGAACUAUUGCUACUAUCAUGGCUCAAGGCAUAAUUAAAAAGGCUCUAACUCAGAAAAGGAAGGAUAAAUCCACAAUGGGGGUUGAAGUACCCCAGGUUGAACAUCAAAAAGGGGUGGAGCAUGAUGAGAAACUACCUCAGGAUCCAACGCCAACCCAACAACAGCUCCGACUCAAACAACUAUAUACCCAGAGGUGGGUCAGAUGUUCAAUGUAAUCAACAGAGCUAUGGAGAUGUUUAAGGCCUUUAUGGCUAGCCAGAGCGAGAAAAGAGAUAAAUUUCCACCUCAAACAAAUAGGCAGAACAAUUAUGAGUCCUCAAGAGUGAAUGAAUUUCUGAAGUUGAGUCCUCAAGUGUUCCAUGGUUCUAUAGUUGAUGAAGAUCCAUGUUAUGGAUGGAGGGUGUUAAGAAAGCCCUCCGAGUGAUGAAAGUAUCUGAUGACAAAACUGUGGAGCUGGCUGCUUACCAGCUUAGAAAUGUGGCUGGUGCUUGGUUUGAGAUGUGGGAAAAAGAGAGAGAUGAAGAUGAUGGUCCACCUGCUUGGGAAGAAUUUGAAGAGGCCUUCAUAGCUAACUUUAUCCCAGAAGAGGAUAUGUCAGCUAAGGCUACAGAGUUCGUACAACUCAAGCAAGGGAAUAAGAGUGUGAAAGAGUACUACAUGGAAUUCAUAAGGUUAGCUAAGCAUUCUCCUCACAUGGUUAAGACAAAAAAAGCAAAGAUUCGCAGGUUUGUUGGCGGUUUGGCUUACCAUAUUAAGGAUACCACAUUAGCUGCAGCAGUAGGGAUGACAGCGUUCUCCUCUGUUGUAGGAUUUACCAAGCACUUAGAAAAAGACAGACAACAAAGGAGAGAAGAAGAAGAGCAUAACAAAAAAAGCUCGGACAACAGGCGGGUUUAAUGGUACACCCAGUACGGUAGGACUGACAGCUUUCUCAUCUGUUGUGGGGUUCGCCAAGCACUUAAAAAGAGAUAGAAAACAAAGGAGAGAAGAGAAAGAACAUAACAAGAAAUCCCGUAAAACGGGCAAGUCUAAUGGUACAUCUAGCGGAGGCGGGAGUGAUUCCUCUAAUAAGGAGUAAUUAACACCAACUUAGUCCAGUCAUCAGCCAGGUGGUGGGUCUUCCUUCAGACGUACUCAGAGUUAUGGAAAUCAGUCUCGCCAGAAUCAGAAUUUUAGGACAUCAUCCUCACAUAGCCAAAGUCAUGCUAAAUAACAUUCACAUCAAUAAGGUCUUUCUGGAACAUGUAAGCCGCAACAUUCAGGUCAGUGCAAGCUCACAUUUUAUUGUUGCUAUCAUUGUAGAGACAGUCAUCCUGAGCAACAUUCACACCAGCAAGGUAUUUGUGCUACAUGUAAAUGGCAACAUUCAGGUCAGUGCAAGCUCGGAUUUCAUGGUUUCUACCAUUGUGGAGACAUUGGUCAUAUAAACACCAACUGCCCAAACUUGUAACGUAAAUUCAGUGGUGGAUCAACUCGUCUUUCUAGUUCCUCAGCUACCGAAGUUGCACCAGUUCAGGCUCGUGGUCCUCAUAAUCAGACCGGGCAGGGGGUAAGGAGAUGUGCAGAUCGAGUUACUCAGGGAGGGGGACAACCCUGUUUGUUUGCUACACUUGAUCGUUAGAGUGUAGAGGCAUUUGCAGAAGUUAUUACAGGUAUACUUUUAGUCUACUCACAUAAUGCUUAUGCCAUAAUGGAUCCAGGUUCAAUGUUUUCAUAUGUGACUCCAUACUUUGAAAUUAACUUCGGUCUAGAACCUGAACAACUUAGUGAGUCAUUCCUAGUAUAUAAGAAGACAUGUUUUCAUAUGUGACUCCAUACUUUGCAAUUAACCUUGUUCUAGAACCUAAACAACUUAGUGAGCCAUUCAUAGUAUCAACUCCAUUUGGCGAGUCAGUGAAAGUCACAAGAGUCUAUAAAAGUUGUACAGUUUCAGUCCAAGGUCGCAACACCAAGGCCGAUCUCAUAGAAUUGGAAAUGGUGGACUUCGAUAUGAUCAUGGGUAUGGAUUGUUAUCUUCCUGCUAUGCCAUUUUAUAUUGUCAUGCUGAGAUAGUCAGGUUCCAAUUUUGAAAUGAAAAAGUGUUAGAGUGGAAGGGUAGUUCAUCAUCGCUUGUAGGUAAGUUUAUUUUUUUACCUUAAGGCACAAUGAAUGAUCGGUAAAGGUUGUCUCGCCUAUUUGGCCCACAUUAUUAAUCUAGAAUCAGAACCACCAGCUCUUCAGUCAGUUCCAGUUGUUAGAGAAUUCCUAGAAGUUUUCCCAGAUGACCUUCCCGGACUUUCUCCCGAAAGAAUCAUAAACUUCAGCAUUGAUCUCAUGCCAGGCACUCAACCCAUAUCUGUACCUUCUUAUAGGAUGGCUCCAGAAGAACUUAAUGAGUUGAGAGAACAGUUGCAAGACCUUCUUGACAAGGGCUUCAUCCGACCAAGUGUUUCACCGUAGGGUGACCCGGUCCUGUUUGUCAAAAAGAAAGAUGGGUCUCUCAGAAUGUGUGUUGACUAUCGGCAGUUGAAUAAAGUUACCAUUAAGAACAAGUAACCACUGCCAAGAAUUGAUGAUUUAUUUGAUCAACUUCAGGGUGCAAAGUACUUUUCAGAAAUAGACUUGAGGUCAGGAUACCAUCAGUUGAGAAUCAGAAAAGAAGAUAUAUCUAAAACAGCCUUUAGAACUCGCUACAGGCACUAUGAAUUUCUAGUGAUGUCCUUCGGGUUGACAAAUGAUCCAGCUUCAUUCAUGGACCUCAUGAAAAGAAUUUUCAAGCCAUUCCUGGAUACCUUUAUUAUUUUGUUUAUAGACGAUAUUUUGGUGUACUCUAAAAGCAAGGAAGAUCAUGUAGAACGCCUCAUAUUAGCCUUGUAGACCUUGAAAGAGAAUGAGCUUUAUGCCAAGUUUUCAAAAUGUGAGUUCUGGUUGCAGUCGGUGGCAUUCUUAGCCCACGUAUUAUCUAGUGAAGGAAUAAAAGUCGACCCUCAGAAGACAGAAGCAGUCAAGAACUGGCCUAGGCCAACAACGCCAGCCAAAAUCAGGAGUUUCUUGGGGUUAGCUGGCUACUAUAGAAGGUUUCUGGACGGGUUUUCCUUACUAGCAGCUCCAUUAACUAAGUUGACUCAUAAAGCAGUUAAGUUUCAAUGGUUAGACGCUUGUGAGUAGAGUUUUCAAGAGUUAAAGAAGAGGUUGUCCAUUGCACCUGUGUUAACCUUGGCGACAGGUUCAGGUGGUUUCACAGUGUAUUGUGAUGCCUCCAGAGUGGGCCUUGGUUGUGUUCUUAUGCAAUCAAGAGUUAAAGAAGAGGUUGACCACUGCACCUGUGUUAACCUUGCCGACAGGCUCAUGUGGUUUCACAGUGUAUUGUGAUGCCUACAUAGUGGGUCUUGUUUGUGUUCUUAUGCAAAAUGAAAGAUUUAUUGCUUAUGCUUCCAGGCAGUUAAAGAAUCAUGAAAAGAACUAUCCCACACACGACUUGAAGCUUGCAGCAGUAGUGUUUGCAUUAAAGAUAUGGAGACAUUACCUUUAUGGCGAGCAUUCUGAAGUUUUUAUUGACCACAAAAGCCUCCAGUACAUUUUCAGGCAAAAAGAACUAAAUUUGAGAUAGAGAAGGUGGCUCAAGCUAAUGAAAGAUUAUGACAUCAAUAUCCUUUCUCACCCGAGCAAAGCUAAUGUGGUAGCAGAUGCACUUGGUCGGAAGUCAAUAGGCAUUUUGGCCCAUCUUGCAGAACAAAGGCAAUCUUUGGGUCGAGAAACUCAAAAACUAGCAAAUGAUGGAAUUAGAUUGGAUGAGACCGAAGAAGGAGAUAUAACUGCUUAUGCCUUAGCGCAAUCCUCCCUUGUGGCGCAUGUUAAGGCUAAGGAAGAUGAAGAUCCGUACUUAGUGAAAUUAAAAGAAUGAGUCAGAAACAAAGAAAUCACUGCUUUCACUCUAGAAAGUGAUGGAGUUUUGAAGUUGAAUGAUCGGUUAUAUGUGCCUGAUGCAGGUAGUCUUAGGAAGGCCAUAAUGGAGGAAGCUCACAGUUCGAGGUAUUCUAUCCACCCAGGUGCUACCAAAAUGUAUCUAGAUUUGAAAGAGUUGUAUUGGUGGAAACGCAUAAAGAAACAAGUAGCAGAUAAUGUGGCUAAAUGUUUAAAUUGCCAGCAAGUCAAAGUCGAGCAUCAGAGGCCUGGUGGCCUAACUCAAGACAUAGAAAAACCACAGUGGAAGUGGGGGAUGAUUAAUAUGGAUUUCGUAGUAGGUCUACCUUGCACGUACCGUAAACAUGAUUCAAUUUGCGUUAUUGUAGACCGGCUAACAAAGCCUGCGCAUUUCCUACCAGUAAAGACGACAGAUUCCGCAGAGCAGUAUGCGCAGUUGUACAUCGAAGAAAUAGUUUGAUUGCAUGGUACUCCAGUUUCAAUCAUAUCAGGCAGAGGCCCUCAGUUCACAGCGUAUUUUUGGCAGGCAUUUCAGAAAAGAUUAGGUACCAAGGUCAAUUUAAGCACCGUUUUUCAUCCACAGACCGAUGGCCAAGUAGAAAGGACCAUUCAGACUCUCGAAGAUAUGAUGCGUGCAUGUGUUAUAGAUUUUGGAGGUAAUUGGGAUGAUCACUUCCCACUUAUAGAAUUUGCUUACAAUAACAGCUAUCAGGACAACAUUGGUAUGGCUCCUUAUGAAGCAUUGUAUGGGUGGAGAUGUAGGUCUCCAGUGGGUUGGUUUGAACCAGCAGAGGUGUCGUUGAUUGGUCCAGAGUUUGUUUAUGAGGCCUUGGAGAAAGUUCAGCUAAUUAGAGAAAGACUUAAAACGGCUCAGAGUCAUCAAAAGUCUUAUUCUAACAAGAGGCAUCGUGAGUUAGAGUUCAUGGUUGGUGAUAAGGUGUUUUUGAAAGUUUCACCAAUGAAAGGAGUUAUGAGGUUAAGAAAGGGAAACUUAGCCCUAGAUUUAUCGGACCUUAUGAAAUUCGAGAAAAGAAAGAAAACGUGGUUUAUAAGCUAGCGCUACCCGUAAGUUAUGAGGUUUGGUAAGAAAGGGAAACUUAGGCCUAUAUUUAUCGGACCUUAUGAAAUUCUAGAAAAGAAAGGAAAUGUGGCUUAUAAGCUAGCGCUACUCGUUGAGUUGUCCUCUGUUCAUCAUGUCUUUCAUGUGUCUAUGCUUAGAAAGUACGUUUAUGAUGAGUCGUAUAUAAUACCUGCCAAUACCAUUGAAAUUAAGGAAUGUUUGACUUAUGAAGAGAUUCCUAUAGAAAUCCUCGAUAGACCAGUAAGAAAGUUGAGAACCAAAGAUAUAGCAUCGUUAAAAGUUUUGUGGAGUAAUCAUGAUUCAAAGGAGGCUACAUGGGAGGUCGAGGAGGAUAUGAGAAAGAAAUAUCCAUAUUUAUUUGAGGAAAAAGGUAUGUACCUAAGUUUGGUUUGACAUUUAUAUUUCAUUAUUAAAUACAAGUUAGCAAGUGUUUCUGUCAUUCCUAGACUAUAUUUAGUUGUUAUAGUAAUUUAGUUUAUGUCGUAGUAUAUUUAAUUCAUUAAAGUGAUUUACUUGUGCUAAAGUUGUUGUACCUUAGAUUAUUGUUAGUUAAUGUGGUACCUCCUUGCCGGAGUGUGAGUAAUUAAUUUGUGAGCUGUGUAUGGUGCUUAUGAAUAGCAUGUUAUGGUAUAUUUGGUUGUUAUUGGAUGAGUAGUUAAUUUAUGAGAUGUGUAUGGUGCCUAUGAAUGGCUUUGUUAUGGUAUAUUUGGUUGUUUUUGGUGUAUUUGUGACAGGGAUUUUUUUUUGGAUAGUCCAAUUUACAAGAGAAACUCUGCCAAAAGUUUUGAAAAUUUAGGGAGUUAGCCAAAAUUUUGAGUCCCUUGGAAGAGUUAGUAAUGCCAAGAAAAGUUAAGAGGUUGAAGGUCCUAAGGGAUGAUUGUUAGCUUAAGAAUAAGACCCUAGUACCAUCCGAGGACGAAUGUUUUUAAGGAGGGAAGAUUGUAACACGUCUCAAAUUUAUAUAUAAAAAAAAGUUUCGAAACAUGCUAUUUUAAUUAUUUUAUUUUUCUUGCCUAUACUGAUAUAUACAUAUAUAUAUAUACACAUACAUACAUAUAUAUAUAUAUAUAUAUACACACUUAAGUAGUUGGAUGUACCGUUAGGAGAAUAUUAAUAAUUUUGUUAUUAUUAAAUAUUAAAAGUAUAUAUAAGUUAAUAUUAGUUAAGUAAAAAAAAUAAUUAAAAAGAACAACAAACAAAACCAAGAGAAAAAAAUGGAUACACAUGACCUAACCCAUAAAGGGGGGUUUUUUUAAAAUAAAAAUAAAAAGAAAGAAAAAAAAGGGGGCUUAAUGCCCUGAACAUAAGCAGAAGGCGUUUUAUUUUAAACGCAAGAAAAGAACCUAAACCCUUCUGCGAAACGAAGGCAGUCACGAAGUUACUGACGCACGGAAAAUUCUAGGUUCUUUACCAAUCACUUAUUCUUGAAUUCAGGUAUGUAAAAUCCCUUAUUGUCAAUUACCCUACAGUAGUAAUAUGUAAGAAUUGAAUAGCUAAAUCCCUUCUUCCUCUAUAUCAUCAAUAAAUUUCAUAAUUAGGUGUAAUACUUUAAAAUUGAUCAAAAUACACCGAUUGUUGUAGAAUCGAUUGUUUGACUGGUGUCAAUUGGACUGGGGUCUACGUAUUAGCUCAAGGAGUUUUGAGAUGAGUUGAUAUUACCCUUUACUAAAGUGGUUUAACUCACAAAAGCACGCACCCAAGGCGUUUGAUGAAUUGCUUAAAAGAGUUUAUAUUUAUUUAAUUAGAGAGACUGAGUACCCAAUUAAUUUAGAAUUGUUCUAGAAAAAGUUUAGAUGAUCUAUUAUGCUAUAUGUGCUGAAAUUUUCAGAUAUUUUUGUGUUAUCCUUAUAUGCUAUUUUCAUGUUGAAAAUUAUGAAGAAGAAAGAAUUUUUAGAAAUAUUUUUAUAGGUUUAUUUCGUUCUUAUGCCAUGCUUUGCAUUUAAGGACACCAACAUGAGCUUGUAUCCUUAUAUGUUAUUUUCAUGUUGAAAAUUAUGAAGAAGAAACAAUCUUUAGAAAUAUUUUUAUAUGCUUAUUUCGUUCUUAUAUCAUGCUUUACAUUUAAGGACACCAACAUGAGCAUGUACAUAAUGUUCUAUAAAGAAAAGAUUUAGACUUGAAAAGUUACAAGAAGAAGUUUUAGAAAGAAAAGAUUUUUGGGGAGUAUCNNNNNNNNNNNNNNNNNNNNNNNNNNNNNNNNNNNNNNNNNNNNNNNNNNNNNNNNNNNNNNNNNNNNNNNNNNNNNNNNNNNNNNNNNNNNNNNNNNNNNNNNNNCCAAGCCGAGGGUCCUGACCAAGGCGUUGACUUCCUGAAACUACUUGUGCCAAAGUAGGGAGCACACGAGUCGAGGGUCUCGUUGCUGAUAAAUUACUUAGUCAUGCUAAGGUAUGUUACAUGAGCGUUGAGAACCAUGAAGCGAGUGGUACCUCGUGGAUUGGGUCUAUUCGAUCAGGUUGGGAUCGAACCCAUACCGAUCACACGGUGACUGAGACAGAAUUAAGUCAGGAUAGUUGGAACUCCCAAAGUAUAAAGGAUUGGGCCUAUUCGAUCAGGUUGGGAUCGAACCCGUGCCGAGCACACGGCGACUGAGACAGAAUUAAGCCAGGAUAGUCGAAACUCCCAAAGUAUAAAGUGAAGUAAUUUUUUUCAAGAAAGAAGAAAAAAAAUUUCUUUUAGAAUACUCAUAAAUUGCUAUCAUGCAAUUAUUUAAGAAUUAUUCUUAUAAGCUUUAUAUCUUACAUGCAUUUAGAAACUUUGCUCGUAAUGUAUAUGAUAUUAAAGUUUCUCCCCUUGUUAUUGAGGUUCACUGAGUACAAUGGAUGGUACCGACGUUCUCUUUUGGGAACCUACGUUGGUCUGCCGUACAACGUAGGAACUGGAUUUGCAGGCGAGCAGGCUACGAUUUAGGACUUUUUUCCCUUCCAGUGCUAUUGGUGAGCUUCGCUUUUGUUCGUGGAGUAUUUCUUAGAGUCAUUUUUAUUUAGCUAUUUCUUUGUUUAUUUAGAGAACUGGCCAGGAAAUCUCAUGUCCUGAGCAGUGCGUCUUCUUAUCAGUAGAGCUUCAUAGACAUAGUCAUUGGGUUGAGAUUCAUAUGUUAUUUAAUAAUAACUUAGCAAUAAUUCAGUUGGUUACUACGAAUAAAGUUUUGAAGUUGAUUUAUUUAA